GUAAUUUUUACCUAUCAUGGCAUUCUUGUAAAAAAACAUAUAAAUUGGAUGUCUAAUUAGGUUUUCUGCAAUCUAUCUAUUAUUUCAUAACUCUAAAUGUUUAUUAAUGACAAAAUAAUAAAUAUUUUUACUGAUUAUGCAAUCUACGGUCUUAUUGCAUUAUGUUUUAAUCUGUGGAAUAUUAGAAUUUUUGACAAUUGAUGGACAUUGACAAGUUGAUUGGCGAAAAUCACAACAAAUUGGAAUUGUAAUUUACAAGUAAAAUUAUUGAUUGUAUUGUUUCAAGGAGAGUACGAUGACGAGUACACCCAGCGACACAGGCGGACCUCUAAUCGGGUCCUUCGCAUUGACUGAACUGAAAAAAAAAGAAGUACUGGAGAGAGUUAAAAGAAAUGAAUAAAAAAAAUAAAAAACAAAUAUAAAAAUGA